rnacentral:tRNA from 1 species
GCGAAGGUUGGCUAAGGUGCUGAAAUUACCUUGGUUUUUUCAGCGUCCCAAGCUGUAGGUCGCGGGUUCGAGACCCGUCGCCCGCUCCA